rnacentral:rRNA from 1 species
UACAGAGGGGGCAAGCGUUGUUCGGAAUUACUGGGCGUAAAGGGCGCGUAGGCGGCCUUCUAAGUCGAACGUGAAAUCCCCGGGCUCAACCCGGGAACUGCGUCCGAUACUGGAAGGCUUGAAUCCGGGAGAGGGAUGUGGAAUUCCAGGUGUAGCGGUGAAAUGCGUAGAUAUCUGGAGGAACACCGGUGGCGAAGGCGACAUCCUGGACCGGUAUUGACGCUGAGGCGCGAAAGCUGGGGGAGCGAACGGG